rnacentral:rRNA from 1 species
AUUGAACGCUGGCGGCAUGCCUUACACAUGCAAGUCGAACGGUAACAGGUCUUCGGAUGCUGACGAGUGGCGAACGGGUGAGUAAUACAUCGGAACGUGCCUAGUAGUGGGGGAUAACUACUCGAAAGAGUGGCUAAUGCCGCAUGAGAUCUACGGAUGAAAGCAGGGGAUCGCACGACCUUGUGCUACUAGAGCGGCCGAUGGCGGGUUAGGUAGGUGGUGGGAUAAAAGCUUACCAAGCCGACUAUCUGUAGCUGGUCUGAGAGGACGAUGAGCCACACUGGGACUGAGCCACGGCCCAGACUCCUAGGGGAGGCAGCAGUGGGGAAUUUUGGACAAUGGGCGCAAGCCUGAUCCAGAAAUGCCGAGGGCAGGAUGAAGGCGUUCGGGUUGUAAACUGCUUUUGUACGGAACGAAAAGCCCCGGGUUAAUACCCUGGGGUCAUGACGGUACCGUAAGAAUAAGCACCGGCUAACUACGUGCCAGCCGCCGCGGUAA